rnacentral:other from 2 species
CGUCCCCUGCCGUGCGCGACAGGGCUCAAUAUUUCCGAACCGAUAGCUUCCACAGGUUGCGGACUCCAGCGUCACUGUUGUGAUCGUCCCUCGUCGGACGAACCUGAUGUGACCGGAAAGCGACCACCCUUGUUGGCAGGGUUCGGGAGCCGAGCCCACCGGCAUGCGCGGGGGGCGC